rnacentral:rRNA from 1 species
UAGGGAAUCUUCCACAAUGGACGCAAGUCUGAUGGAGCAACGCCGCGUGAGUGAAGAAGGUUUUCGGACCGUAAAGCUCUGUUGUUGGUGAAGAAGGAUAGAGGUAGUAACUGGCCUUUAUUUGACGGUAAUCAACCAGAAAGUCACGGCUAACUACGUGCCAGCAGCCGCGGUAAUACGUAGGUGGCAAGCGUUGUCCGGAUUUAUUGGGCGUAAAGCGAGCGCAGGCGGAAGAAUAAGUCUGAUGUGAAAGCCCUCGGCUUAACCGAGGAAUUGCAUCGGAAACUGUUUUCUUGAGUGCAGAAGAGGAGAGUAGAACUCCAUGUGUAGCGGUGGAAUGCGUAGAUAUAUGGAAGAAUACCAGUGGCGAAGGCGGCUCUCUGGUCUGCAACUGACGCUGAGGCUCGAAAGCAUGGGUAGCGAACAGGAUUAGAUACCCUGGUAGUCCAUGCCGUAAACGAUGAGUGCUAAGUGUUGGGAGGCUUCCGCCUCUCAGUGCUGCAGCUAACGCAUUAGGCACUCCGCCUGGGGGAGUACGACCGCAAGGUUGAAAC